rnacentral:lncRNA from 1 species
AACUCUAUAGUGAAGACUCCUGAUACUCUUUGUUGUAGGGAAAAUAACAACAGCUUUUACGCAAACAAAACUCAGACCCAGAGCCACAAAGCCAUAUUGCAUAUAGUAUAGUUUUAUCAUCUGUUUUUCUUAUAAUGAUCUUGCCGGUACAUUCAAUGUACUGACCUACACGGCUGCAACAUAUCAUGUUGCAGGAUUUUCUUUGACGAGUAAGAGUUACGAUACAGGGUUAUGGUCUACAUUCAACUUGCCGAUGGCGUUGAUGGGACUCCACACCCGUUUAAUUGUUUCCGCUGAGUAUUAUGAGGUAUAUAUAUCAAUUUUAUGUUAUUUAUACAUGUGAUUGCAUGAAAUUCAAAUUCAUAUCGGUAUGCACAUAUUUUAAGUGGUUUACCCUAUGUUUUCUAGUUAUGCUAACUACUUUGGACCCUAUAAGUUUGGGGACCAUAUUGUACUUAAAUUGUUUUAGGUACAUUUGAGAAGCAUUGGGUGGUUGGCUUAUUCAUGAAGGUGGUGGCACAAUGAGGAAAUUAGAACCAAGCUUGGACAUUUUAUUGAUCUAUGACUUCAUACCAAUGCUAUCUCGGUAAUAAGUAUUUACUUCAUGCAUAUAUAUAGAAAUUGGGUCAACCUUGUGUAGGUUGUAUCAUGGCAUGAUUAGUACUUGCUAAAAGUUGUGCUUCUUGCAUGUUCUUAAAAAGUCACUUUAUUGCAAUUGUGGGGCAUUUGAGGAGAAGCAUAUAGUGGGGAUCUAUAAAACCAGAUUCAUGAUUCACUUAUCCCAAAAUAUGCCAAUUAAGCAAUUUAUUGCAUAUCAGUUCCUCAAUUGUUCUCUCAUGUGUAAUUUUGAUAAAAUUACAAAACACUCUAUUUUCUUAUGGUGUUUUCUAUCUUACUUUGUAAUUCAUUGUUAUGCAAAUGAGAUAAAUUUGUGCCAUGUGCUUUGUGUCAUGUGCCUUGCUCCUACGCUAGGAUCACAACUGUAUAAUAAUGGAUUCACUUGUGGAUAUCAAGUUCUUAUCAAUUGAGUAUUUUGUGUAUGCAAGGUUCUUUGUGGAUACAUACCAUGUUUAUUAUUGGCCUCUUAGAAAUUUUAUACAUGUAAUAGUUCAUAUCUUUCCUUGAUAUCAUUUAUUCCUUGUCGGCCACUUUGUUUGUUUCCUUUUACUCUUAUGGUGGUUUCGGUAAGAGGUUGUGGCAUGAGUGCAUGUAUGUUUUGCAUAUAAUCUUGUGCACUCAUGUGUUUUGAAUGUAUUUUGGACACAUUAUUAUGAUGAUGAUCAAAUUGGGUAUUCAUACUAUAUCUUGUCCACAAUAUGUUCUUUGGAUCUUCUUGAAAAGUUUUUCUCACAUGUAGAAUGCUUAUUUUUGUACCAUAAUAUCUUGGUGCAUUCCAUAGAUCCCGAGAUCCUCAAAUUUUCAUCAUUGAAUAUGUGCAUUUAGUUUUCACUCACAUCUUGUAAUACACACACAUUAAGGAGGAACUCAUAAUAUAUUGGCUUCUAAAUUUUUACAAUUUUGGCAUUUGUUGCCAAUGGGGAGAAGUUUAGAGGGUUUAAGAUAAGUAUUUUAAGUGCUUGUUGGUUGAAGAUAACUUUUUAAAUGCUUGUUGUCAUUCAUGCUUAUCUAUCCUGGUUAUAUAUGUUGGUUGCAUAAAUGAAUAUAUAUAUAUAUAUAUAUAUAUAUAUAUAUAUAUAUAUAACUCCACCUAGUGUAAGUCAACCAAUAUAUGCAAGGAAAUUCAAAGUUCAAUCACACAUGCAUAUAUUGUGAAGGAGCUUGCUCUAUAUAUUGUGGUUCUACUAACAUCAAAUACUUGUGUAGUGUUUCAAUGUUAGUACACCGAGUGUGGUAAACUCAAGUAUCUUUGUGACACUUGAUGCUAUCAAAACUAUCCCAAGUAUACAAUUUAUCCUCGGGUAAAUUGCAUACUUAUGUUAAAAUUCAUUAUAUAAACCCUCUUGUUGAGAUUGUCAUCAAUUAUCAAAAUUGGGGAUAUUGAAAGUACAUGUAGUCCCCAUGUGUGGUUUUGGUAAUUAAUUACAAUCUUUAUGGACUAAUGUUUGAAUUGAUAUAUAUAUAUAUAUAUAUAUAUAUAGUGUUACUAUUAUCACCGAGGGUGCAGAAUAAGUUAUUCUUCACCCGAGGUAAUCUUACGAUCAUUUCAUAAAUAAAUUAUAUUUAAAAUACAAAUAGUCAUAUUCAUGUUGAUUUACUGCAUAAAAUUUGGCAUAACAAAAAAAUAUAGGUCAAAAAUUGUAUUUUAUGUACAUUUUACACUAUAUUUUUACAUUUGUAAUUUUACGUAACAUAAAAAAAAAUACGACGAUUAUAGGUUUUCUUACGUUCUCUUUUAUGUCUAAAAUAAAAAAAUUACGAAACGUAAAAUUACGGUGCAUAGAUGUUAAAAUAGAGGUGGGUGAAGAAUAACUAUUCCUCACCCAGGGUGUGAGCGUGGGGUGGGUCGUGUUGAGCACUAGUGGAGUCUAUUAUGAUAACACCCCUUAAGAGUCUUAUUAUGAUAACACCCGCAAAAAAAAGAGUCUUAUUAUGGUAACACCUGGCUUAUUCUGAUAACAAAAAAGAACUGCACGAGCCAACCCGAACUGCACAGUGACAAAACCUACCACCUACCCCACUAGUGCCCAACACGACCCACCCCACGCUCACACACAACCCACUAUAGCUGGCCAAACGGGCCGGGCUAAACAGGCCGGCCCGCGAGCACGCCGGCACGGCCCGCCAUGGGCCAGGCACGGCACGGGCUAAACGGGCCGUGCCCGGCACGCGGCACGCCUUGGGCCGUGCCUGGGCCUGGAGCCUGGGCACGCGGGCCGGCACGGCACGGCUCAUUUAAUUUUUUUAUAUAUUUUUUAGAUUUAUAUAUAUAUAUAUAUACCUAAAAUACAGCCCAAUAGGCCUAAAAACCAGCCUAGCAGGCUGAAAAUGUGCAGCCCAGCGUGCUAAACGGGCCAUCGGGCCGGCCCGUUUACUAAUCAGGCCGUGCCUGGGCCAAGGAGCAGCGCCCGUGGGCCGGCACGGCACGGCCCGGCUAUUAAACNNNNNNNNNNNNNNNNNNNNNNNNNNNNNNNNNNNNNNNNNNNNNNNNNNNNNNNNNNNNNNNNNNNNNNNNNNNNNNNNNNNNNNNNNNNNNNNNNNNNNNNNNNNNNNNNNNNNNNNNNNNNNNNNNNNNNNNNNNNNNNNNNNNNNNNNNNNNNNNNNNNNNNNNNNNNNNNNNNNNNNNNNNNNNNNNNNNNNNNNNNNNNNCCGGGCCAGGCACGAUUAGCACGGGCCGUGCCGUGCCGUGCCGGGCCGGCCCGUUUGGCCAGGUCUGCAACCCACCUCCUCUCCCACCUUCUUCCUCCUGCAGUUGCCAGAGCCCCGCAUUGCCCUGCCUUCCUCUGCGCGCCGCGGCGCCGACCACCCAGCGCAACCUCGAUCCGCCGAGCCAUCUUCGCCUUGCCCUGAAGCCGCCGCUGCCGCCGCCAGGGCCCCGCCCCACCCCGGAGGCCCUUGAAUCUCCGCGUCAACCGCCGCCCUCCCCGGCAUCCCUCGCCGCAGGAUCGGCCGCCCCCAACCUCCCACGCCGCCAGAUCGGGCCGCCCCCGGCCUCCCUUGCGCCGCAUACGGUCGUUCCCAGCCUCCCUCUCCAUCGGAUCAGGCUGCCCCGACCUCUGUUUGCCGUCCCCGCGGCCUACAGAGGUCACCGUGGCCCUCUCCUUCCCAGAUCCGGCGAGCCUCCCAUGGCCCUUUCCUCCCCAUACCCCGCCGCGCCUGGCCAGCGGCCUUCCUCCCCUGUCUCGCUGGUGCUACAUCAUACGGCGCGGAUCCGGUUGCGCCGCCCCAGGCACCCUGGCGCAUCCCAUGGCCUUGGCGGGAUCCCCACCGCCGGCGUGCCCCUUCCCACCGCCCGCCCUGAUGGCCGCCUCCCCCCGUCCUCUUCUGCUCCAUCGCCAAGCACCACUGCAGGUACGAAUGAGGUCAAUCGGCAGCGAGGUUCAGGCAAGUUUUCCAUGUAGUUCCGGCGAGCAGUUCGGCUAGCGCGGCCAUACGGUUCGGCCAGCCCAUGGCUUCAAUUUGUCGGUGCGCUGCCGCGGGUGGGGUCAUCCUCUCCUACUCGGGCCGAGAUCCAUGGCCACUGAGCCCCCUUCCUUCGCUCCCAUGUAUGGGCAACAGUUGAGCACCCACCAACCCCGAUAUGUGUGUCAUCCAUUGCUCUGUCCUCGCCGGCAUGUUCCCACGAACAGGGAGUUAGCUUAGUUGUUUAUUGCCGUCCUCUUCUGUUAUUGCCACUGAACCUCCAUGAGUAGGAGUUCAGUUAACUUUGUAGUUCUAUUUUUGUUUAACUUGUGCCAUGCAGUUCGCUAUGUAAAAUUGCAGUGAAUUUUUUGUACUUUUAUUUCUGCUCAUGUUACACAGAUGUUCUAAUUUGUUGCAGAUUUUGGUUGCAAGUGUAAAGAGAAAAAAGUGAUUCGGUGUGGUACAUGAUGAUAUGUAGUUUUAGCACCGUGGUCACGCAUGCCACGGAGUGUGCGUCACCGUCCGUGGGCGUGUGCAGUGCGGCGCGUGGGUGCUUGCAGUACACAACCCGCCUAUUCAACUGAUUUUUUCGAUCUGGCUAGUGUUGAUUUUGUGUGUAUGUAUGUGUGUGGCUCUGUAAAACAAAUGGGUGAAUGUAUUAUCUCCACGAGCAUCAUCAGCGGCCAUAGACAGUGGCGCAAAACAUAAAGUGUGCAUGUAGUUUGGUUAUCUUGUUCGUGCAGUACUUUGUUUUUGUUUUGUGAGGUUCACUUGUUCUUUAAAUUAUUCAGCGAAUGUUGGUGUGAGGUAAUAUUAUUUUGGUGGAAAAAAUGUAAUUUUAAAUGCAGUCCACUCGCCUCAUUCAUGCAGCUCACUAACAUUGACCAUGUAGUCUAGAUCAAAUUACAAAAAAAGGAAAGUUAACA